GACGAACGCUGGCGGUGUGCUUAAUACAUGCAAGUCGAACGAAGAGGCCCUUUCGAGGGUACUUCAGUGGCGGACGGCUGAGUAAUGCAUAGGUAACGUGCCCUUUAUUGGGGGAUAACACCGGGAAGCUGGUGCUAAUACCGCAUAAGUGCUGGGUUGAAAUACCCAUCAUUAAAGAUUUAUCGAUAAAGGAUCGGCCUGUGUCGGAUUAGCUAGUUGGUAGGGUAAUGGCCUACCAAGGCGAUGAUCCGUAGUUGGUCUGAGAGGAUGACCAGCCAGAGUGGGACUGAGACACGGCCCACACUCCUACGGGAGGCAGCAGUAGGGAAUAUUGCGCAAUGGGCGAAAGCCUGACGCAGCAACACCGCGUGGAGGAUGAAGCUUCUCGGAGCGUAAACUCCUGUCGGCAGGGAAUAUAAUGACUGUACCUG
rnacentral:rRNA from 1 species